UCCAGACUCCUACGGGAGGCAGCAGUGGGGAAUAUUGCGCAAUGGGCGAAAGCCUGACGCAGCGACGCCGCGUGAGGGAUGAAGGUCUUCGGAUCGUAAACCUCUGUCAGCAGGGAAGAACGGUCACUGUGCUAAUCAGCAGUGAAUUGACGGUACCUGCAAAGGAAGCCCCGGCUAACUACGUGCCAGCAGCCGCGGUAAUACGUAGGGGGCAAGCGUUAUCCGGAUUUACUGGGUGUAAAGGGAGCGUAGACGGUGAAGCAAGUCUGAAGUGAAAGGCGGGGGCUCAACCCCCGGACUGCUUUGGAAACUGUUUGACUGGAGUGCAGGAGAGGUAAGUGGAAUUCCUAGUGUAGCGGUGAAAUGCGUAGAUAUACGGAGGAACACCAGUGGCGAAGGCGGCCUGCUGGACAUUAACUGACGCUGAGGCGCGAAAGCGUGGGGAGCAAACAGGAUUAGAUACCCCAGUAU
rnacentral:rRNA from 1 species